GACGAACGCUGGCGGCGUGCUUAACACAUGCAAGUCGAACGGAAAGGCCCUGCUUUUGUGGGGUGCUCGAGUGGCGAACGGGUGAGUAACACGUGAGUAACCUGCCCUUGACUUUGGGAUAACUUCAGGAAACUGGGGCUAAUACCGGAUAGGAGCUCCUGCUGCAUGGUGGGGGUUGGAAAGUUUCGGCGGUUGGGGAUGGACUCGCGGCUUAUCAGCUUGUUGGUGGGGUAGUGGCUUACCAAGGCUUUGACGGGUAGCCGGCCUGAGAGGGUGACCGGCCACAUUGGGACUGAGAUACGGCCCAGACUCCUACGGGAGGCAGCAGGGGGGAAUAGUGCACAAUGGGCGGAAGCCUGAUGCAGCAACGCCGCGUGCGGGAUGACGGCCUUCGGGUGGUAAACCGCUUUCGCCUGUGACGAAGCGUGAGUGACGGUAAUGGGGAAAGAAGCACCGGCUAACUACGU
rnacentral:rRNA from 1 species